rnacentral:lncRNA from 1 species
GCCGGAGAAAACGCAUGAUGACACUAUCUUUUCUUUAGAUACUCUCAAAGCAUUUUGUAAAAGCUAUCUUCUCGUAUUUCAUUUUACAAUUCUAUCAUUUGUUUAGCUUCUAAUCACAUAAAUACAUGAUGUGUUUUUCCUGUAUAAUCCAUACACAAUGUGUCAUUUUGUCACAACCUGUCGCUUUUAUAAUAUUUUUGAACAUAUAUCAGUAUAUAGUAAGUUU